rnacentral:rRNA from 1 species
UACGUAGGUGACCAGCGUUGUCCGGAUUUACUGGGCGUAAAGAGCGCGCAGGCGGUCGUUCAAGUCGAGUGUGAAAGCCCCCGGCUCAACUGGGGAGGGUCACUCGAUACUGAUCGACUUGAAGGCAGGAGAGGGAAGCGGAAUCCCCGGUGUAGUGGUGAAAUGCGUAGAUAUCGGGAGGAACACCAGUGGCGAAGGCGGCUUCCUGGCCUGUUCUUGACGCUGAGGCGCGAAAGCUAGGGGAGCAAACGGG